ACUGGAUUAAGCAUGGAGAUCGAGUGUAUGAAGAUCAGUGUAAAAUACUAAUACAACAAAAUAUAUAACCCAGGACACCAUAUAUCCCCAGCAGGUCAAAUGGAGGUCGCAAUCACACACUGUGACAGUGGGAGCCAAUCCCAGUCCAUCAUGGAGGAGGGGAGGGGACUGUGGUUCUCUCACUAAAUAUAUCUGUGCUAAUCCCUGCUCCUCCGCUGCUGUGAUCAGGCCCAGACUGAGUGGAUAUGACAGCUGGCCCACCUGUUCAAAGUGAUCAAAGAAGCAGCAGGUACUUAAGUGAUGAAUCAGCUGCUCUGAAACUAACCUGCAAACUGACCUGGUUUGAACACUGGCUGGGAUCUUUUUAUGUGGAGAUUUGCAAUAUAAAUGUGAGUCUAUGGGUUAUUUCAGCUGGUUUUACUACAGUGCAUUGCAGAUUCCAAAUCCUUUUUAAUUAAAAUGUUUAAACAACCUUCCCAAUUAAAAAAAAAGGAGAGAAAAGCAAGACAUGAUUAACAGUCACAAUGCAGGACAGCAAAAGGACAGUUUCAGCCACUCUCAAGGAGCUCUCUGAUUACCACCAGUGUCAUAUUUUAUUUUUUAAAGGAAACAAUGCAUUAACAUUUAACGUGGUUUUUCAUGUUCCAUCAAAUGUAAUCACAUUCUG
ensembl:lncRNA